rnacentral:misc_RNA from 1 species
AACCUAGCACACCUGCGGUGUGUACCUGCGGAAGGAUCAUUAAUGAGGACCAGACGGCGGCUCACCCCGCCCGACCUCCAACCCUUUGUGAUUACACCUCGUUGCCUCGGGGGUGGCCCGGCCUAUUUGCGGACGCGCCCCCCCGGUGGACCACUCAACACUGCAUCUUUGCGUCUGAGUCUAAAAGUAAAUCUAUUAAAACUUUUAACAACGGAUCU